CUCCAUUUCUCUAGAAAAAAGAAAUAGAAAAACAAAAAGAAAGAAGCAAAACAUAAACAAAGACAGAAAACGAAAUCUAAAAUCGAACAUGCACCUUUCUUGGAAAGCUACUUGUGCUGCCUUGUUCAUUUCUUGAGCUUCUUGGGAAUAGGCACACUGGAACUUGUUUCCCAAAUUGUUAAUCAGGAGGAAGAAGACUGUCAGUGGUAACAGUGUUAGAUUAGAACUGUUGGUUUUCUGUUCUCUCCCUGGAAACAUGAUUACCACAUCCUCUGAUGAUGGAUUGGACACCGAAACCAAGGCUGUUGAGAGGUUGAGGCAACUUAUGAGGGAAGUAGCCCCUAAAACUACCAACUUUCAGGUACUUAUCCCUGAUUCAAAUUCCCAGCAUUUCAUC